AUUGUAUGCAUAACCCUUGUAUCGGUUACUAAGUGAAGUGGCCCUUAAAAGAACUGAAGGAUGCUUAACAAGAAAGUCAGUCAACAAAGACAAGUUCUUGGAAUCCAAAUGCUUCUUGGAGACCAGUUCCUCAAGCUCCCGUCUGACAAGAGAAGGAGAACUUAAAUCUUUCACUAUUUGAGAAGGGUUCCCUAAUAGAGAAGAAAAAACUAGUUAAGACUCUCCAAAGAGGGCAUGGAAGGAAUCUGAAAUGCAAGAGGCAAAGGAAUGCUAUUGCUUGGAGAGGGCUUAGAUUUUGAAACUCUAAAUUCAUCAUCCUUAGGAAACUGUUCCUCAAGAGUUGAGGUUACUUUCCCAACAGCAGCAUCAUUUAGAGAAACUGAACAAAAGGUGGAAGUGGAGAGAGUUCAACUUCAAAAAUCAAAAGGGUGAUGAGGUAAUAUUGCUAUUGAUGGUAUCUCUAAAUCCGGAACAUUUUCAACAAAUUCAUGCUCUGCUUCUGGUGUGAGUUUCAGUUGUAUCUGCACACAAAAAAGGAUGUUUGAUUCAAAGACAUUGUCAUGGUGAUUGUAUUCAGGUGUGAGUAAAUAGAAUGGUAUUGACCUGUGAUGCCACUUCAACUUCAAUCCCACCAUCAAAAUCUUCAGUGGUUUCUGCACUUGGACUUUCGUUACCACUAUCGCUACCAUCGGACGCUUCUAGUAAUUGUUGUAAUACUUGUUUAGGUGUUUCUUCAUCUAUAGUAAAAUAUUAUUAGAUAGUAA